rnacentral:rRNA from 1 species
AACGAACGCUGGCGGCAGGCUUAACACAUGCAAGCCGAGCGCCCCGCAAGGGGAGCGGCAGACGGGUGAGUAACGCGUGGGAAUCUACCCAUCUCUACGGAAUAACGCAUGGAAACGUGUGCUAAUACCGGAUACGCCCUUCGGGGGAAAGAUUUAUCGGAGAUGGAUGGGCCCGCGUUGGAUUAGCUAGUUGGUGGGGUAAAGGCCUACCAAGGCGACGAUCAAUAGCUGGUCUGAGAGGAUGAUCAGCCACACUGGGACUGAGACACGGCCCAGACUCCUACGGGAGGCAGCAGUGGGGGAUAUUGGACAAUGGGCGCAAGCCUGAUCCAGCCAUGCCGCGUGAGUGAUGAAGGCCCUAGGGUUGUAAAGCUCUUUCACCGGUGAAGAUAAUGACGGUAACCGGAGAAGAAGCCCCGGCUAACUUCGUGCCAGCCGCCGCUGUAAUAC